rnacentral:tRNA from 1 species
UGUUUUGUAGCUUAUUUGGUUAAAGCGCCGGAGUCGUGAGUUCGAGUCUCAUUAGAACGC